AGAAUAAAGAAAACACAUUCAAAACCCUACACCUAAACACACUAUAAAUAACUAAAUAUAAAAACUUAAUGGAUCCCAGAGGCUACACCCAUAAUCAGCCGCAACUAUUCACGUUUUCAAGGAUACGAUAAACAAACACAUAGCAUAAUCAUCCGAAUAAGACCUACAUCACCAUAACCAUCCUAACACCUAGAACCCACAACAUCAGCCGCAUUAGCCAUCACCCUAACACAACAAUCAGCCGUAGACUAAACACCUAGAAUACACAAAAAAACUUCAGCCGCAAUAGCAUUCACGUAGAUACCAAUCAGCCGCAAUAGCAACUCCUCUUAAAAAAUAAAAAUAAAACGCACCACCUCUGAGGCACGACAAAAAAGCCAAAACAACCAAAAACAAUGUAACAAAAAGAAAAAACAACCACCCAUCGCAAAUGGCCAUGGGAUAACCUUCAACCAAACAACCAUGAAAACACCACCCGUUAUAGCUCCAUCAGUGAAGUAACAACUUAAAAACUCAACCUUUAAACACCAUUUGGCUUUACCUUCAAGCUCCCAUAACCACCACCACAAAAACUCCAUUAAAACCAGCUCAAAAACACCAUGAAACAUCCCUGAAAAUAGCUUCAACCUUCACCCCAAAACAGCCACGUAACCACCGCUGUUGAGACGUAUCGGAGUAGAGAGGUCUGUUCGAGGUUGCCGGCCCCGGGUUCGAAAGUAUGAUUUGAGCACUGUCACGUCUGUUUUCUUCUUAAUAAAUUGCAAGAUGCUUAAAGAACUUAGGGUCGUUUUUUGUGCCAGAUUUUCUUGAUCUAUCACUAAGCCUGCAAAGCCUAAAAAUAUUUGACUUGAAGAUUUCUGUUAGACGUAUUUCAUGAGCCCUUUGCCUAUUGCGGAAUUCUCCCAGCCUUUAUGAACUUGACAUAGAUGAAGGUGUGAGGGUUGAUGAGACAGUGUAUGAGAGAACAAAACUGUUUGAUUACUCGUCGAAGGCAGAAAACGAAUUGAGAGACCCUCUGAGGAUGAUUAUAACAAUAAGGUUAGGGAAAUUCAAGGGGGCAACUACUGAAAUGUACCUAAUACAAGUCAUCCUUGCCCAUUCUUGGAACCUUGAGAGAAUGAUCAUUGAACAGAUUGGGGAAAGUAAUGCCACAAGGUGUAAUGAAACUUUGAAGAAGCUGAUAAGCUAUCCUCGAGCAUCACCAAAAGCAAAAAUUAAGUACUUAGACUGAUACGAGUGGCGUAUUAUGAGUUAUCGGACAAGUGCAUUGAUUUCAUAUUUUGACAGAAUAUUGAAUCUGCAAAUCUAUCAUAUGAUCUAAUUAACAGAGUCUCUUUGUCU